rnacentral:rRNA from 1 species
AAAUUAACCUCCGAAUGAUUCUAGUUCAGACUUUAACCUGUCUACACUUAAUUCAUUAAUUGACCCAAACUUUUGAUCAACGGAACAAGUUACCCUAGGGAUAACAGCGCAAUCCUACUCAAGAGUCCAUAUCGACAGUUAGGGUUUACGACCUCGAUGUUGGAUCAGGACAUCCUAAUGGUGCAACCGCUAUUAAAGGUUCGUUUGUUCAACGAUUAAAGUC